GGAGGGGUGCCCGAGUGGCUAAAGGGAGCAGACUGUAAAUCUGCCGGCGAAUGCCUACGGAGGUUCGAAUCCUUCCCCCUCCA
rnacentral:tRNA from 1 species